GAUGAACGCUGGCGGCGUGCCUAAUACAUGCAAGUCGAGCGAACAGACGCGGAGCUUGCUCCUCUGACGUUAGCGGCGGACGGGUGAGUAACACGUGGAUAACCUACCUAUAAGACUGGGAUAACUUCGGGAAACCGGAGCUAAUACCGGAUAAUAUAUUGAACCGCAUGGUUCAAUAGUGAAAGACGGUUUUGCUGUCACUUAUAGAUGGAUCCGCGCCGCAUUAGCUAGUUGGUACGUUAACGGCUUACCAAGGCGACGAUGCGUAGCCGACCUGAGAGGGGGAUCGGCCACACGGGAACUGAGCCACGGUCCAGACGCCUGCGGGAGGCAGCAGUAGGGAAUCUUCCGCAAUGGGCGAAGACCUGACGGAGCAACGCCGCGUGAGUGAUGAAGGUCUUCGGAUCGUGAAACUCUGUUAUUAGGGAAGAACAAAUGUGUAAGUAACUAUGCACGUCUUGACGGUACCUAGUCAGAAAGCCACGGCUAACUACGUG
rnacentral:rRNA from 1 species